UAGGGAAUCUUCCGCAAUGGACGAAAGUCUGACGGAGCAACGCCGCGUGAGUGAUGAAGGUUUUCGGAUCGUAAAACUCUGUUGUUAGGGAAGAACAAGUACCGUUCUAACAGGACGGUGCCUUGACGGUACCUAACCAGAAAGCCCCGGCUAACUACGUGCCAGCAGCCGCGGUAAUACGUAGGGGGCAAGCGUUGUCCGGAAUUAUUGGGCGUAAAGCGCUCGCAGGCGGUCUUUUAAGUCUGAUGUGAAAGCCCACGGCUCAACCGUGGAGGGUCAUUGGAAACUGGAGGACUUGAGUACAGAAGAGGAGAGUGGAAUUCCACGUGUAGCGGUGAAAUGCGUAGAGAUGUGGAGGAACACCAGUGGCGAAGGCGACUCUCUGGUCUGUAACUGACGCUGAGGAGCGAAAGCGUGGGGAGCAAACAGG
rnacentral:rRNA from 1 species